ensembl:misc_RNA 7SK 7SK RNA
GAAUGUGAGGGUGAUUCGGUUGUUGUACCUGUCACCCCAUUGACCAACAGGGCUGAUUGGGUUGAACGGCUGGCUAGGAGGUGUCCCUGUCCUUCCUUACUACUCCAUGUGCAUCCCUCCCAGAGCUGUCAGAGAAAAUGACCUUCCCUAACAGAAGCAGACGAUUCUUCAGUCAAGGUCAUAGGAGCAGCUCACUGCCUUGCUUGACACUUGCAACAAGCUCUCAAGAAGUCCUUGCUUUCUAGUCCUGCCACAUCCUAGAUAUGUGGAUUUUCACAAUUUUCUUG